CCAGGCUCCUCACAAACUCCUGACCUCAAGUGGUCUGCCCACCUCGGCCUCCCAAAGUGCUAGGAUUACAGGCGUGAGCCACCACUCGUGGCCAAGUGAGCUCAAUAAAAGGGAAAUAUUAACUAAAAA